UACGUAGGUGACAAGCGUUGUCCGGAUUUACUGGGCGUAAAGAGCGCGCAGGCGGUCGUUCAAGUCGAGUGUGAAAGCCCCCGGCUCAACUGGGGAGGGUCACUCGAUACUGAUCGACUCGAAGGCAGGAGAGGGAAGUGGAAUUCCCGGUGUAGUGGUGAAAUGCGUGGAUAUCGGGAGGAACACCAGUGGCGAAGGCGACUUCCUGGCCUGUUCUUGACGCUGAGGCGCGAAAGCUAGGGGAGCAAACGGG
rnacentral:rRNA from 1 species